UGGGGAAUAUUGCACAAUGGGCGCAAGCCUGAUGCAGCAACGCCGCGUGAGGGACGACGGCCUUCGGGUUGUAAACCUCUUUUAGUAGGGAAGAAGCGAAAGUGACGGUACCUGCAGAAAAAGCACCGGCUAACUACGUGCCAGCAGCCGCGGUAAUACGUAGGGUGCGAGCGUUGUCCGGAAUUAUUGGGCGUAAAGAGCUCGUAGGCGGUCUGUCGCGUCUGCUGUGAAAACCCCGAGGCUCAACCUCGGGCCUGCAGUGGGUACGGGCAGACUAGAGUGCGGUAGGGGAGAAUGGAAUUCCUGGUGUAGCGGUGGAAUGCGCAGAUAUCAGGAGGAACACCGAUGGCGGAGGCAGUUCUCUGGGCCCGUAACUGACGCUGAGGAGCGAAAGCGUGGGGAGCGAACAGGAUUAGAUACCCUGGUAGUCCACGCCGUAAACGUUGGGCGCUAGAUGUGGGGACCAUUCCACGGUUUCCGUGUCGCAGCUAACGCAUU
rnacentral:rRNA from 1 species